rnacentral:rRNA from 1 species
AUUGAACGCUGGCGGCAGGCCUAACACAUGCAAGUCGAACGAGUGGCGGGCGGGUGUGUUAUGUCUGUAAAACUGCCCCAUGGUGGGGGUUAGCUACUGGAAACGGUAGCUAAUACCGCAUACCAUCGGAUGUGCCCCGAUGGGAUUAGCUAGUAGGUGGGGUUACGGCUCACCUAGGCGACGAGCCGUAGCUGGUCUGAGAGGAUGACCGGCCAACCGGGAACGGAGAAACGGUCCAGACUCCUAGGGGAGGCAGCAGUGGGGAAGAUUGCACAAUGGGCGCAAGCCUGAUGCAGCCAUGCCGCGUGUAUGAAGAAGGCCUUCGGGUUGUAAAGUACUUUCAGCGAGUAGGCGUUACUCGCAGAAGAAGCACCGGCUAACUCCGGGCCAGCAGCCGCGGUAAUAC